UCCUAUAUUAAGUGAGUUCCUAAGAAAACGUUUCGUUUUUGCAAAAGAGCCCCUACAUUAGUUGGAAUUCAGCCCGCAUUCAGUCCUUAUAUUCCUUAUCCAUUCCCAGAGUCCACCGCCGGCCACUCGCCGCCGCUUGGUGCCGGCGUCCACGACGCCGCUCCGACGACCCCUCGCACCCGCCGUCGCCGGCAGACACCAGCAGGCCACUAUUCUUUUUCCUCUCAUCCUCCCCCUCGCGCCUGCGUCCCUCCAUCGUCGGCGAGGACCACCUCCGGCCUCCCCUUCCUCUGCUCCGCCUCCUUAGCUCGCGCCCGAGUGCCGCUCCUGCAGCACCUCCGCCGUCCGCCUCUGUUUUCCGGUGCCCCGUCGUCGCGGGACCUCCCCUCGCACCGCGUGUUGCUGCUUCCCCUCGCCCAGUCCCGUGCGCCUCAUGCCUCCGCGCGAGCGCGCCGCGCCCCGAGCUCCAUCCUUCCCGCUUCGCCCGCGCCUCCUCCUUCCGUCGCUGUCCGCGACCUCCUCUGCUCGCGCAUGACCAUCUCGUUGGCCUCCCCUGCUCAAGCGGGCCAACCACCAGGGACGACGGGGCUCCUAUGGCCGCCAGUGUCAGGAGAAAGAAGGGUGGCGGCGCUCCUGGCGACGAGCAGCAAGCGGAGGCGAGGAGGUGGCGGGGUUCUUGGUGGUCGCCGGCGUGGCGAGGGCCCGAGGAGUUGCCGGAGCGGGCAUCGGGCGCGGUCGGAGCAGAGGAAUGCAGGUCGUGCUCGAGCGCAAGUCCCGUGUCCAAUUUGGAUUGAUUUUGGACCGUGUCCUUGUCGAACACAAGUCAAUGGAGUGCUGAACCCGGAUUGCUGUUUUUUGGUAUGAGAAGGAAGGGUACUCAGCCGUAAUCUCCAUCGGAUCAAUUUUGGAGGAACAUCUAAUGUCGCCGCCGAGUUUGCCGGAGGUACAAGAACAUUCGUCCAGCACUGCGAUGUCGCCUGCGUCUUCUACAUCAGAGGUGUUGAUCAAGGCUACCUUGUGGCAAAAGCUCAUACACAAGGAGGAGGCGUGUGUACCUCUCGUCCCGCCAUCAACAUAUAAAUUCAAUCAGGUUCCUCUGGCCGUCAUAGCCAGGGGCGGAGUCAGGCUAGCCCUAGGCCCCGGGCCUGCUUUGGAGCUACAGUAAUCUACAGUGCGAAACAAUGCAGAAAAUGCUACA